GAUGAACGCUGGCGGCGUGCCUAAUACAUGCAAGUCGAGCGAACAGACGAGGAGCUUGCUCCCCUGACGUUAGCGGCGGACGGGCGAGUAACACGUGGAUAACCUACCUCUAAGACUGGGAUAACUUCGGGAAACCGGAGCUAAUACUGGAUAAUAUAUUGAACCGCAUGGUUCAAUAGUGAAAGACGGUUUUGCUGUCACUUAUAGAUGGAUCCGCGCCGCAUUAGCUAGUUGGUAAGGUAACGGCUUACCAAGGCAACGAUGCGUAGCCGACCUGAGAGGAUGAUCGGCCACACUGGAACUGAGACACGGUCCAGACUCCUACGGGAGGCAGCAGUAGGGAAUCUUCCGCAAUGGGCGAAAGCCUGACGGAGCAACGCCGCGUGAGUGAUGAAGGUCUUCGGAUCGUAAAACUCUGUUAUUAGGGAAGAACAAAUGUGUAAGUAACUAUGCACGUCUUGACGGUACCUAAUCAGAAAGCCACGGCUAACUACGUG
rnacentral:rRNA from 1 species